CAGGGAAUAGAGCCGAAGCACUUGGAUGCACAUUUGUCUUGUUUUAUUUGGAUCUGAUUGGUCUGUGACACUGAUAAUCAGCAUACGGAUCUUCCCUUCCAGCCCUUCCCUGCUUCAGAUCAGUGUCCUUAUGACCACAAUGUCCCCAACUGAUGAUGUCACAAUGGGCCGAAGCCCACAGAGCAUACAUUGUUUCUUCGGUUUCCGGUACAUUUUAUGCGGGUUUGAGGUUGAUGCAAUGUUUUGGACCUUUGAGCUGAUUUCGUAGAUUAUAGUUUCCUUUCGGUCUUUAACUCUGUUGUACCUGCUCUUUCAGAAGCGUCUUGUUUUCAGAGAGCGUGUUUGACUUUUCGUGUUUCACUAACAUAGUAGAGAUGAGUAAUAAGGGACAGAGGGAGGUUUUGGACGCUUGUGAGUGGAAACUAGAAGACUGUUCAGAAAAGCAUAUUUCUGAAGAUCAUGUGACACUGAAGACUGGAGUAAUGAUGCUAAAGAUUCAGCUUUGAUCACAGAAAUAAAAUACAUUUUACUAUUUAUUCACAUAGCAAACAGUUAAUUGUAGUAAUAUUUCACAAAGUUAACUUUUUUUUUUUAUCAAAUAAAUGCAGCCUUGGUGAGCAGAAGAGACUUCCACAAACAUUAAGAAAUCAGCUCAAAUUGAGCUUACAUUUACAGCAUGAUGAAUGAACUGAAAGUAAAAUUGUAUCCUUUUAGACUUUUGAAUUAUUUCGCUGGUCCAGAAGAA